rnacentral:snoRNA from 1 species
ACCUCUGCUGGGUGUUUAAACAUCAGCGCCGCAGAUACUCAGCAUCUGGCAUCUUGGCUUCCUGCUUGUUAAACCUGGUAUUUCUACUGAUACAGUA